rnacentral:lncRNA from 1 species
CGUGCGGCAAAAACCACGAGACAGAACAAAACAAAACGAGCAGCGGGAGGGAGCGAGAAAUAAAAAACACACACAAAAGAAGACGAAAGAGAAAAAAAAACAAACACAAGAGAAGAGCACCGCGCCGCGCGUCCGCGCCCAUUUCCUUCUCCUCAUCGCCGGCCGUCCCCGAUGGCCUCCGCCGGCGGCGCCUUCCUCUCCGCCGCCGCCGCCGUUCUCCUCCUCGUCACCGUCUCCCUCCUCCCCCU